rnacentral:rRNA from 1 species
CCCUUAGAUGUCCAGGGCUGCACGCGCGCUACACUGACUGGCUCAGCGUGUGCCUACCCUACGCCGGCAGGCGCGGGUAACCCGUUGAACCCCAUUCGUGAUGGGGAUCGGGGAUUGCAAUUAUUCCCCAUGAACGAGGAAUUCCCAGUAAGUGCGGGUCAUAAGCUUGCGUUGAUUAAGUCCCUGCCCUUUGUACACACCGCCCGUCGCUACUACCGAUUGGAUGGUUUAGUGAGGCCCUCGGAUCGGCCCCGCCGGGGUCGGCCCACGGCCCUGGCGGAGCGCUGAGAAGACGGUCGAACUUGACUAUCUAGAGGAAGUAAAAGUCGUAACA